UGGGGAAUUUUGGACAAUGGGCGAAAGCCUGAUCCAGCCAUUCCGCGUGCAGGAUGAAGGCCCUCGGGUUGUAAACUGCUUUUGUACAGAACGAAAAGGUUUCUAUUAAUACUAGGAGCUCAUGACGGUACUGUAAGAAUAAGCACCGGCUAACUACGUGCCAGCAGCCGCGGUAAUACGUAGGGUGCAAGCGUUAAUCGGAAUUACUGGGCGUAAAGCGUGCGCAGGCGGUUAUAUAAGUCAGAUGUGAAAUCCCCGGGCUCAACCUGGGAACUGCAUUUGAGACUGUAUAGCUAGAGUACGGUAGAGGGGGAUGGAAUUCCGCGUGUAGCAGUGAAAUGCGUAGAUAUGCGGAGGAACACCGAUGGCGAAGGCAAUCCCCUGGACCUGUACUGACGCUCAUGCACGAAAGCGUGGGGAGCAAACAGGAUUAGAUACCCUGGUAGUCCACGCCCUAAACGAUGUCAACUGGUUGUUGGGUCUUAACUGACUCAGUAACGAAGCUAACGCGUGAAGUUGACCGCCUGGGGAGUACGGCCGCAAGGUUG
rnacentral:rRNA from 1 species